GCAUCGAUGAAGAACGCAGCGAAAUGCGAUAAGUAGUGUGAAUUGCAGAAUUCAGUGAAUCAUCGAAUCUUUGAACGCACAUUGCGCCCCUUGGUAUUCCAUGGGGCAUGCCUGUUCGAGCGUCAUUUGUACCUUCAAGCUCUGCUUGGUGUUGGGUGUUUGUCUCGCCUUUUGCGUGUAGACUCGCCUCAAAACGAUUGGCAGCCGGCGUAUUGAUUUCGGAGCGCAGUACAUCUCGCGCUUUGCGCUCACAACGACGACGUCCAAAAAGUACAUUUUUUACACUCUUGACCUCGGAUCAGGUAGGGAUACCCGCUGAACUUAAGCAUAUCAAUAAGCGGAGGA
rnacentral:rRNA from 1 species